GAAACCCGACCUGAUAACCCGAAUUAGUUUAAGUUUUUUUAAAAAAAAAAACGUAAAAAGCUUUUAUUAGCCCAGCCCAAAUGCACAAAGAGGCUUCCUAUAUAAAUUCAAAACCCUAAAAUAAUCUCAUUUCCCCUCACCUCUUCAGCCGUUUUUCCCCUCACUUCUCUCUCUUUAAUUUUCUCUCUCCUCAAAAACUCAUUAUAUUGUUGAAUUUUCUCUUUAAUUUCCUUCAGCCGUUUACCAUUGUCAAUUUGUCAUCUCCUUCACGGCUUGACUCCUUCACUCCUCCACAAGACGCGUUCCUUAAUUCUUCUCCUUCAUCAAUCAAGGUUUGGCAGCAAGAAGUAAUCACCCAUGUUCAAUUGGAAAUGUUGUGGAUUAAUUUUAAAGCUUGAGGUGGUGAAAAAGGAUGACAACCAUGAUAGAUUGACAGUCUCAACAUCGCCCGAUCUUAAUCCAAAUGAAAAUCUUAUUGCAUCUUCUAUUAUUUUUGAGAACUGUAAUUUGUGUUAAAAAAACUUUUGUCUUUUGAAACUUGGUUUGUAAUUAGUGAAUUGCACUUUU